UAGCAUAGCUCAGUCAGUAGAGCAUGAGACUCUCAAACUCAGGGUCUUGGGUUUGAGCCCCACGGGCAAAA